UCCGGCUUAUCACCGGCGGUUUCUUUAGAGUGCCCAACUAAAUGAUGGCAACUAAAGACGAGGGUUGCGCUCGUUGCGGGACUUAACCCAACAUCUCACGACACGAGCUGACGACAGCCAUGCAGCACCUGUGCGCCGGUUCUCUUUCGAGCACCCCCGGAUCUCUCCGGGGUUCCGACCAUGUCAAGGGUAGGUAAGGUUUUUCGCGUUGCAUCGAAUUAAUCCACAUCAUCCACCGCUUGUGCGGGUCCCCGUCAAUUCCUUUGAGUUUUAGCCUUGCGGCCGUACUCCCCAGGCGGGGUGCUUAAUGCGUUAGCUUCGGCACGGGGGGAGUCGACACCCCCCACACCUAGCACCCAUCGUUUACGGCGUGGACUAC
rnacentral:misc_RNA from 1 species